UGAGCCCCAGUCAGGC
rnacentral:rRNA from 1 species